UACGUAGGGUGCGAGCGUUGUCCGGAAUUAUUGGGCGUAAAGAGCUCGUAGGCGGCUUGUCACGUCGGAUGUGAAAGCCCGGGGCUUAACUCCGGGUCUGCAUUCGAUACGGGCAGGCUAGAGUUCGGUAGGGGAGAUCGGAAUUCCUGGUGUAGCGGUGAAAUGCGCAGAUAUCAGGAGGAACACCGGUGGCGAAGGCGGAUCUCUGGGCCGAUACUGACGCUGAGGAGCGAAAGCGUGGGGAGCAAACAGG
rnacentral:rRNA from 1 species